ACGCACGCUAGCGGCGUGCUUAACCCCUGCCAGUCGCACGGAAAGGCCCUGCUUGCAGGGUACUCGAGUGGCGAACGGGUGAGUAACACGUGGGUGAUCUGCCCUGCACUUCGGGAUAAGCCUGGGAAACUGGGUCUAAUACCGGAUAGGAGCCAUUUUUAGUGUGAUGGUUGGAAAGUUUUUUCGGUGUAGGAUGAGCUCGCGGCCUAUCAGCUUGUUGGUGGGGUAAUGGCCUACCAAGGCGGCGACGGGUAGCCGGCCUGAGAGGGUGGACGGCCACAUUGGGACUGAGAUACGGCCCAGACUCCUACGGGAGGCAGCAGUGGGGAAUAUUGCACAAUGGGCGCAAGCCUGAUGCAGCGACGCCGCGUGGGGGAUGACGGCCUUCGGGUUGUAAACUCCUUUCGCUAGGGACGAAGCUUUUUGUGACGGUACCUAGAUAAGAAGCACCGGCUAACUACGUG
rnacentral:rRNA from 1 species